CAUUAUUUUAAUUAGGAUAAAAUAUAUAAGCUCUAUUUUAAUGAUAAUUGUCUCCUAAAUUUCAUACAAAUUUAUAUUAAGAUUAUAAACCGUGCAUCGCACGGGUAGUAUAUUAGUUCAACUCCUAAACCAAACCCAGAACCCUAAACACAGAGAAUCGGUAAAACUUGUGAGACCAAUCUCCUACAAUUUCUUAUUAGGAUGAAAACUGAUCGGAAACCACCGCUUGCUAGAUCUCCGAUGACUCUUCGAGGCCGUCGCCCCCUUCAACCACCUAACUCCAAUUUCAACGCCAGCACCCCUCUUCGAACACCAGAUUUUUUUUCCCCAAAGAGCUUGUCAUUUUGGGUUUUGAUGUGGGUUUUUUCGUUGUUGAUAUAAUUGCUGAAAUUCCUUUCUUUUGCACAAACAAAAUUGGUAUGUUGUGGGUUUAAGGAAACAGAAUAAAUCAGUUAAUUCAAUAGUAAGCCCUUACUGGGUCUGUUGAUUUUGGUUGUUUUAUUUCCUUGAUUUUAAUUUGGUUUUCUGGGUGAUCGAAGAAUGAAUAAACGCUUAAUAAAUGGGUUUAAUUCUGUUUUUCACUGUUAUUCCAGCAAUGAUGACCAAACCGCAGAUGAGAGAACAAGAGAACAAGCCAGAAUUCAACACAGUUUCUUGUGAAUUGAGGGCAUUAGCAAAAAUGGUGGAAGACGAGCUCGGUGCAAUCAACGCGAAAAGCAACAAUGAUUCAGCAAUUGGAGGGGGUAAUACUAAGAUGUUUGAGAGAGGUAGGUUGUAGAAUGCUUAUUCAGAGAGGAGGAAUGAAAGGCUAAGGAAGAAACAGAGUGAAUCAGGGGAUGAUGAGCCCAAAACUGCUUAUAAUCAUAUGGGUGUUAAACUUGAUUCUACUUUGAAGAAAGAUUCCACCAAGAAGAAGGCUGAGACUUUGAAGAAGUCGAUGAUGGCUGCGGCCAAUACUUAUUCAUCAGUGGAUCGAAGCCAGCACCCAAGGUACGCAUUGAGGAGCACCACCAAGAAGCCACCGCUUCCGGUGGCACCGAUGAAUAUCGAUGAGAAGGGGACGGCGAGGAAGACUCCUAGUACAAGAGCUAGGAGGAAGUGAAGGAAAAGGAAUUUUAGAACUUUAGAGGAAUUGAUCUGUUAAUUUCUAAUGGGAUUCAUGGAAAAUUAUGAUACUAGAUGUUUUGGUUGUAUUAGUCCAUCUAUUGUGGACAUCACAAAUCUUCAGUGCUGAAUUGGAGAACCAAUGAUAUACAGUAGGUUAGUAUUUAUGUUGUGAGACACUUGCAAAAGUUGCAAGAAUGUGUUCAAUCACAUUACCCAAAGAAAAACAAAAAUGUUAUGAUUCUUUCUUAAUAAAUUUUUCAUCUAUGCAUUCAUUCUUAA